rnacentral:rRNA from 1 species
UACGGGGGGGGCAAGCGUUGUUCGGAAUUACUGGGCGUAAAGGGCUCGUAGGCGGCCAACUAAGUCAGACGUGAAAUCCCUCGGCUUAACCGGGGAACUGCAUCUGAUACUGGAUGGCUUGAGUUCGGGAGAGGGAUGCGGAAUUCCAGGUGUAGCGGUGAAAUGCGUAGAUAUUCGGCGGAACACCAGUGGCGAAGGCGACUCACUGGCCCGAUACUGACGCUGAGGCGCGAAAGCGUGGGGAGCAAACAGG